GCAAGUCGAGCGGUGGACUUUUAGUCCCUAGCGGCGGACGGGUGAGUAACACGUGGGUAACCUGCCUUGAAGAGGGGGAUAGCCCUCCGAAAGGCUGAUUAAUACCGCAUAAUGUCCUGCUGACGCAUGUUAGCGUGACCAAAGGAGCAAUCCGCUACAAGAUGGACCCGCGGCGCAUUAGCUGGUUGGUGAGGUAACGGCCCACCAAGGCAACGAUGCGUAGCCGGCCUGAGAGGGUGACC
rnacentral:rRNA from 1 species